CCGGCAGCCGCAGCUCACCGCCCUCUUGGGUUGAUUAUGUUCGACGACCGGCGUCUUUGCGAGCUCGUCGAAAUCUGCAUCCCAAGGAGUACAAAGAAAUGUCCCAGAAAAGAAUUGAGCACUUGGCGUAGCACAUGAAGAGGCCUGAUCAGUUGACCAUUUUAGUUCAAGGAAUCCCACAACUGCGUACAUCAUGGAACUUAUGGGUGUCGACGUCAUGGUGACCACUACUCAAAGCACUAUCUUCAGAGGAGGGGAUGGUGAUGUUUGGUGCUCUCCACCUUCGUCGCGCGCAUGGCUGAGAUUGUGUGGUACCAUGCUGCAUGUCGGCGAGUGGGUGCUGGCCACCAGGACUCUUCAGCGCCAAUGCGAGCCACAAAGGUCUGUUCGUCCGCCACGAGCUGCAAGGAGGCUUGGCGGCUUUCUCCUCCUCGAACCCAUUGGACCAAGAAAUGGACAGGUUCCUUCAAAACAAAUAGGGAGAAGAAAUGGUCAGGUCUUGUGCUCCAGCAACACACCGACGCCUCUUGUGUGGCCUGGCUUAUUUAGAUGGGUCUCUCUUGAUGAUACAUGCUAGGUGCUCUGGCAAAUGCCUCGUGGCUGCGAGUUCUAGUGAAUGGCUCCAUCAGGAUACGGAGGAUGACUACAAUGGCAGUGGCUUCGCCUCCCCCACAUGGUAUACUUUGUAUCUUGACAUGUGCUGGGCUAUGGCUGGGAGGCUGAUGACUUCUCUCCCCUACCUAUGCCAAU